rnacentral:rRNA from 1 species
ACGCUGGCGGCAGGCUUAACACAUGCAAGUCGAACGGUAACAGGAAUUAGCUUGCUAAUUUGCUGACGAGUGGCGGACGGGUGAGUAAUGCUUGGGAAUCUGGCUUAUGGAGGGGGAUAACUACGGGAAACUGUAGCUAAUACCGCGUAAAAUCUUCGGAUUAAAGGGUGGGACUUUCGAGCCACCUGCCAUAAGAUGAGCCCAAGUGGGAUUAGGUAGUUGGUUAGGUAAAGGCUGACCAAGCCGACGAUCUCUAGCUGGUCUGAGAGGAUGACCAGCCACACUGGAACUGAGACACGGUCCAGACUCCUACGGGAGGCAGCAGUGGGGAAUAUUGCACAAUGGGGGGAACCCUGAUGCAGCCAUGCCGCGUGAAUGAAGAAGGCCUUCGGGUUGUAAAGUUCUUUCGGUGACGAGGAAGGUUGAUAGGUUAAUAGCCUAUCAAAUUGACGUUAAUCACAGAAGAAGCACCGGCUAACUCCGUGCCAGUAGCCGCGGUAAUACGGGGGGUGCGAGCGUUAAUCGGAAUAACUGGGCGUAAAGGGCACGCAGGCGGUGACUUAAGUGAGAUGUGAAAGCCCCGAGCUUAACUUGGGAAUUGCAUUUCAUACUGGGUCGCUAGAGUACUUUAGGGAGGGGUAGAAUUCCACGUGUAGCGGUGAAAUGCGUAGAGAUGUGGAGGAAUACCGAAGGCGAAGGCAGCCCCUUGGGAAUGUACUGACGCUCAUGUGCGAAAGCGUGGGGAGCAAACAGGAUUAGAUACCCUGGUAGUCCACGCUGUAAACGAUGUCGAUUUGGGGAUUGGGCUUUGAGCUUGGUGCCCGUAGCUAACGUGAUAAAUCGACCGCCUGGGGAGUACGGCCGCAAGGUUAAAACUCAAAUGAAUUGACGGGGGCCCGCACAAGCGGUGGAGCAUGU